AGGUACAGUCAAAUCAGGCCCCUUGCGAAACCUGACUGUUCGUCCCUCAAAAAAGAAGUUUACAAUCUUACGACUUUCAUCCUUCACGCGGCGUUGCUGGGUCAGGCUUUCGCCCAUUGCCCAAUAUUCCUCA
rnacentral:rRNA from 1 species